ACUCAAAUGAAUAGACGGGGGCCCGCACAAGCAGUGGAGUAUGUGGUUUAAUUCGACGCGACGCGAAGAACCUUACCGGGGCUUGACAUGGAACUGACCGGUCCAGAGAUGGGCUUUCUCUUCGGAGCAGUUCACACAGGUGGUGCAUGGUUGUCGUCAGCUCGUGUCGUGAGAUGUUGGGUUAAGUCCCGCAACGAGCGCAACCCUUACGGUUAGUUGCUACGCAAGAGCACUCUAGCCGGACUGCCGUGGAUAACACGGAGGAAGGUGGGGACGACGUCAAAUCAUCAUGCCCUUUAUGUCCCGGGCUACUCACGUACUACAAUGGCGGUCAUACAGAGGGGUGCGAAGCGGUGACGCAGAGCAAAUCCCUAAAAGCCGCCUCAGUUCGGAUUGCAGGCUGCAACUCGCCUGCAUGAAGUCGGAAUUGCUAGUAAUCGCGGAUCAGCAUGCCGCGGUGAAUACGUUCCCGGGCCUUGUACACACCGCCCGU
rnacentral:rRNA from 1 species